rnacentral:rRNA from 1 species
UACGGGAGGCAGCAGUGAGGAAUAUUGGCCAAUGGGCGCGAGCCUGAACCAGCCAAGUAGCGUGCAGGAUGACGGCCCUAUGGGUUGUAAACUGCUUUUAUGCGGGGAUAAAGUGCACCACGUGUGGUGUUUUGUAGGUACCGCAUGAAUAAGGACCGGCUAAUUCCGUGCCAGCAGCCGCGGUAAU